UACAGAGGGGGCAAGCGUUGUUCGGAAUUACUGGGCGUAAAGGGCGCGUAGGCGGCCUGUUAAGUCGAACGUGAAAUCCCCGGGCUCAACCCGGGAACUGCGUCCGAUACUGGCAGGCUUGAAUCCGGGAGAGGGAUGCGGAAUUCCAGGUGUAGCGGUGAAAUGCGUAGGUAUCUGGAGGAACACCGGUGGCGAAGGCGGCAUCCUGGACCGGCAUUGACGCUGAGGCGCGAAAGCCAGGGGAGCAAACGGG
rnacentral:rRNA from 1 species